rnacentral:rRNA from 1 species
UACGGGGGGAGCAAGCGUUGUUCGGAUUUACUGGGCGUAAAGGGCGCGUAGGCGGCCUGUGCAAGUCAGUUGUGAAAUCUCCGGGCUUAACUCGGAACGGUCAACUGAUACUGCUCGGCUAGAGUGCGGAAGGGGCAACUGGAAUUCUUGGUGUAGCGGUGAAAUGCGUAGAUAUCAAGAGGAACACCUGCGGCGAAGGCGGGUUGCUGGGCCGACACUGACGUGAUGCGCGAAAGCUAGGGGAGCGAACGGG